rnacentral:rRNA from 1 species
AUUGAACGCUGGCGGCAGGCCUAACACAUGCAAGUCGAACGAGUGGCGGACGGGUGAGUAAUGUCUGGGAAACUGCCCGAUGGAGGGGGAUAACUACUGGAAACGGUAGCUAAUACCGCAUACCAUUGGAUCCGCCCUGAUGGGAUUAGCUAGUAGGUGGGGUAACGGCUCCCCUAGGCGACGAUCCCUAGCUGGUCUGAGAGGAGGAACAGCAACACGGGGACUGAGACAAGGUCCAGACUCCUACGGGAGGCAGCAGUGGGGAAUAUUGCACAAUGGGGGCAAGCCUGAUGCAGCCAUGCCGCGUGUAUGAAGAAGGCCUGCGGGUUGUAAAGUACUUUCAGCCGGGAGGCGUUACCCGCAGAAGAAGCACCGGCUAACUCCGUGCCAGCAGCCGCGGUAAUAC